rnacentral:misc_RNA from 1 species
GAUGAAGAACGCAGCGAAAUGCGAUAAGUAAUGUGAAUUGCAGAAUUCAGUGAAUCAUCGAAUCUUUGAACGCACCUUGCGCCCUUUGGCCAUUCCGAAGGGCAUGCCUGUUUGAGUAUCAUGAACACCUCAACUCUUCAUGGUUUUCCAUGAUGAGCUUGGACUUUGGGGGUCUUGCUGGCCUGUGGGUCGGCUCCUCUCAAAUGAAUCAGCUUGCCGGUUUUUGGUGGGCAUCACAGGUGUGAUAACUAUCUACGCUUGUGGUUUUCCACCAGGUUAACCUUCAGCAGUGGAGGUUCACUGGAGCUUACAAAUGUCUCUCCUCUGUGAGGACAGCCCUUUGAAUGUUUGAUCUCAAAUCAGGUAGGACUACCCGCUGAACUUAAGCAUAUCAAUAAGCGGAGGA